CCCUUAGAUGUCCUGGGCCGCACGCGCGUUACACUGAUGCAUUCAACGAGCUUAUAACCUUGGCCGAUAGGUCUGGGUAAUCUUUGAACGCUGUUCGUGAUUGGGAUAGACCUUUGCAAUUAUGGGUCUUCAACGAGGAAUUCCUAGUAAACGCAAGUCAUCAGCUUGCAUUGAUUACGUCCCUGCCCUUUGUACACACCGCCCGUCGCACCUACCGAUUGAAUGGUCCGGUGAAAUCUCGGGACGGCGGCUUGGUCGCUUGCGUCCGACUGCUGAAACUUGAUUAAACCAUAUCAUUUAGAGGAAGGUGAAGUCGUAACA
rnacentral:rRNA from 1 species